ensembl:misc_RNA Metazoa_SRP Metazoan signal recognition particle RNA
GCCAGGCACAGUGACACACGCCUGUAGUCCCAGCUACUCUGGAGGCCGAGGUCCAUGAUCGCUUGAGCCCGGGAGCUCUGGGCUGUAGUGUACUAUACCCACUGGGUGUCCAAGCUAAAUCCAGCACCAAUACGGUGACCUCCUGGGAGCGGGGGAACCACCAGGUUGCCUAAGGAGGGGUGAACCAGGCCAGGUCGGAAGUGGAGCAUGUCGAAACUCCCGUGUUGAUCAGUAGUGGGAUUGCUCCCGUAAACAGCCACUGCACUCCAGCCUGGGUAACACAGCGAGACCCAUCUCUU